rnacentral:rRNA from 1 species
UACGUAGGGGGCAAGCGUUGUCCGGAAUCAUUGGGCGUAAAGCGCGUGUAGGCGGCCCGGUAAGUCCGCUGUGAAAGUCGGGGGCUCAACCCUCGAAUGCCGGUGGAUACUGUCGGGCUAGAGUGCGGGAGAGGCGAGUGGAAUUCCUGGUGUAGCGGUGAAAUGACGCAGAUAUCAGGAGGAACACCAAUUGCGAAGGCAGCUCGCUGGGACGUCACUGACGCUGAGACGCGAAAGCGUGGGGAGCAAACAGG